UCCAAUUUGCUGCAAACAUGCAUUUGAUGGUAUCCUUGACCAAGUCAAGACUUUAAGCACAGAUUUCUAAGAACACUAAGACAUGUCUAGUGACAUAUAACUUAAAGAUAUAGUAACAGAGGCUCCACUGGACCCAAAAAAAUCACCAUUAGACAAAAUUCUUGUAGCGUACUUGGUUUCUAUAACUGAUAUUAGAAAGAAAGAUAAUCUGCUUAUUUAACAACAGAUCAAAUCGUUUGACUGCAAAUCAAAACAGUGUAUGAUCUAUGACGAGCUUUCGAGGUCAGGGACCAGAAUAGGCAAUACACUUCAUUCUUUCAGUGCAGAUGGCUGACCAGAAGAAAGCCUCUCUGAUCUCGCCUUGUUAGCCUUUUCCAUAUAAUCUUGGUGAGAUUGAUGUUUUGCCCCUACAAUGAAUAGAUCGCACAUUUAGGAACAUACAUUUAUUUGAGCCUGUAAAAAAGACUAACAAAGAAGUCACCCACCCAAUGAGGCAGCAAUCUGACAGCAGCUAGAUAGAUGAUACCAUUUAGAAAAGUGCUUAUUAGGUGCUUGUAUCAUUGGGAUUUACCAUGUCUCAAUAACACAAGAACACCCUUGAAACAAAUGUGGUGGCACUAAUUUCAAAAUUUAUCUAGAACAAGUAAACUGUAUCAGAAAAGAAAAUACGAAGACAGGAAUAAUCCUGCAGUCAUCACUACCUAUACUAAGCACAUCACUUCUGAUGUCAGUGUGGAUCAGUCAGAACAGCACACCCACACAUGUGCAUGUGCGUUUUAAUGUUAGGAACAAAAUAAGAGACAAGUUCCAUGUAGAAAUGUUGCUUCAUUGGGAUACAUAUGUAUUACGAAAUUAGGUGAAACUUUCAAGACCAGUUAAAGAUGGUUCACUGGAGUUAACUCAACCAUGGAAUGAAAAACUUCACUUCAACAUAUCACCUCUGCUCCUCCCUCCCUCUCUCCUCUUCUUCUCCUUGUGUUCUAUUUGGUUGUGCAACUCUAGUUUGAACACAGUGCCAUUUGGCUACUUUGGCUUCUUAAACUAUGUCAUUUGGACAUCUCCUUCAUGCCAUGCAAUUUGAUCACAGUUAUCCAGUUUUAAACUAAUAUUCUCAACAAGUUCAGAGCAUUAAGUUGACUUGAACAUCGUAGCAAUGUGAUCCUAACAAAAACCACUUUAAUACAGGCAUUGUCAAAUAUUUAUGAUAUUUAAUUUUCAAGUUGGCAGAUGAUUAAACUGAAGCCCCCUGACACUAGAAAUUGAAAUCCAACGGAAAUAUUAACCAUUCUAUACUGAAAAUCCUAUGAGGACUGCCGACUACCUACCCUACAGUUGUACAUAUAAGCGCUACCUCUGCUAAAAAUAUAUCCCACUUCAGAAUAUAUAAACCAAAAUUGUACUUUAACAUGAUGUUACGAGCAAUAUUUUUUUUAAAAAAAAAUAAUUUGAUAUGAUCAUACGUCUAAACAUUUUACUAACAUCUAAACAGAAAAGGUGAAGAUCAGACUACUGGACCAUCUGACAUUCUAACAUCUAUUGUAGAAUCAACGAAGUAUUUCUUAUUUGCUUCGACUAUACCAUUUGAUGACAAAUUAAAAGGAACAUAACAAUGCAAGAUAUGUUUCUGUUGUGAAUUACAAAUGUUUUGAACACUUCAUGAUGUCAAGGGGUUGUUUCAGAAUCCAAGCCAAUAAACAUAACUGUGCACUGUGCUUCAGAUAUGUAGCAGCAGUGGUUAAAUUGAAACUGAAGUUCCAUAACAUGUAGAAACUGCCACGGUUGUGAUAGCCAAGGUUAAUGGUAGCAAAGCAUCAAAGUGGCUUCUCUUGAAAAGAUAAAAUCGCCGAUAGAACCAUGCAAGGUCGCAAGGCUUAAGUCAACCUUUCAAGACACUGUAAUGUUUCAUGCAAGGAAGAUAGCUUAUGUCAAUAAACCAUUGACACAGUGUAAUGUUCCCUUAGGGAUGGACACUAUCAUACAAGAUACUUUCAUAAAGAUAUAUAGAUAAACCUUGCUAAAAAUAUUUAUCAGAACUAUAUCUUUCCCCUAAGUUCAGAGUCUCCAAAAUUACAUUUCUGUUUAUCAUAAUGGAAGAGGAUGAUUUAUGUCACAUUAUGCAGGAGCAUAGUUUGCAGAACAUGUUUACUCUCCUAAAUCAGUACACUGUCCCAUUAUUAAGAUGACAAAUCCAAUGUAUUUUCAACUGUUAGGAAACUAUAACUUGAACAGAAUAAGCAUGCCAAACAUAGUAAAGGUACAAAUUCACUACCCAACUUUAUUCAGUAAAUGGUUG
rnacentral:lncRNA from 1 species